UCUGGUGUCAGCCGCCGCGGUAAAACCAGCACCUCGAGUGGUCAGGAGGUUUAUUGGGCCUAAAGCAUCCGUAGCCGGUUGUUUAGGUUUUCGGUUAAAUCUAUGCGCUUAACGUAUAGGCUGCCGAAAAUACUGGACAGCUAGGGAGUGGGAGAGGUACACGGUACUCAAUAGGAAGGGGUAAAAUCCUUUGAUCUGUUGAUGACCACCUGUGGCGAAGGCGGUGUACCAGAACACGUUCGACGGUGAGGGAUGAAAGCUGGGGGAGCAAACCGGAUUAGAUACCCGGGUAGUCCCAGCUGUAAACGAUGCAAACUCGGUGAUGCAUUGGCUUGUGGCCAAUGCAGUGCCGCAGGGAAGCCGUUAAGUUUGCCGCCUGGGAAGUACGUACGCAAGUAUGAAACUUAAAGGAAUUGGCGGGGGAGCACCACAAGGGGUGAAGCCUGCGGUUCAAUUGGAGUCAACGCCAGAAAUCUUACCCGGAGCGACAGCAGAAUGAAGGUCAAGCUGAAGACUUUACCAGACAAGCU
rnacentral:rRNA from 2 species